UUUCUUGGAUUAUCAAUACUGGUGCCUCAAAACAUCAUAUCUACCCCGCAUUUAUAUACAAGAAUUACAACAAACACUUUUUCUGCAAUUGUCUUAUCAAACAAUGAUAGAAUAAAUGUUUUCCAUGUUAGAACCAUAAAGAUAACCAAUAUGUUAGUUCUCCAUAAUGUUUUAUGUGUUCUAUAUUUCAGCUUUAACAUUAU
rnacentral:lncRNA from 1 species